AUGCAACAAAGGUGAUAUGUCCAAUGACGAUGAUGAAUGCAAGCAAAUCGGAGAAGAGUUCACCCGGCGCUCACCUCAGUCCCUGUGAUGCAUACAAACUCUACUCCGAUGAUGCCAGUUGGAGGAGAGUAACAGAACUCAAUUCAAAGGCCACUACGAGGGGAAUGGUUAUUGGACGAGAAGAGUUAAGAGAAUCUGCAGUGCAGCUCACAAGUCAUACAAAUUCCGAAGCAAAAAUAUCAAAGCAGGGGCAAACUGGACAACCACGUCCCAAUAAGGUUGCGUAGACCAAGAGAGUAAGAUACAAACCGCAGUUCAACUGAUGUCAAUAAUGGACUCAAUUCAACUCCACAACCCCAUUCAAAAAACUGAAUUAGUUUAAUCAGAGGAGAAGAGCAGCAGUUCAAGUGAAAGCUACACUAGUAGAGUACACAAGGAAGCAAAGGUUAUUGCGGUAGCAUAAGCAAUGACGAGAGCCUGCAACCAACAGCCCAAAGCACAAGGAGAGCUGUGAGAUGUACAGUUGCUGCUGCGAACAAAGGUGUCUACGGUGCGGGAAUCCUCAACUCAAAUUCAAAGACUGGCAAUAUGUGGACGAGCAUCAACUCAAGGCGCUGUUUACAAGAACAAAUCUGAUCGCAGGACAAGGACGAAUCCGAUGACUAUUAGUCAACCUACCUGUUACACGAUGCACAAGUAUCACAAUGAUGAAAAGUACUGCAACAAUAUCCGAAGAUCAAAGUAAAAGCACAAAGACGAUGGUCCGAAGAUAGUUGACGAUGCUUAAUUGAUUCGAUGACGACGUUGAGUGAAGCAACUGGAUCAUCCAAGUGCCCAACGAUGAUGACACCAAGUCCUGGGGCGAUGAUGUUAAGUCCGAUGACGAUUUGAAGAGAACACCAAUCCAAGAUAGAAAUAGCAUCCACGACACAAUGAUGACAAUGGAAGUCUACCAAAAGGAGCCCAGCUUCAGACGCAUUACAAGCCACCGGACAUGCAGGUUCUCCGAGAUGAAAUUUGACGUUCUACCAACAUGGAAGGUACCCCGAAGCACAAAGUGAUCGAUCAAUCAUGUGACGAAGAUGCAGCUCUAAUCCUCAUCACGAUGAUGCAGUACCAGUCAAAGCCGAAUGAAUUAUCAAGAUGAAACAAUGGUGGAACAAGAGUCGAGGGAAGUUGCAGUUCAACUAAGAGAGUUACCUCCCAAUGGGAAUUCCCGAAAACAUUUUAUGGUUUCAUUUUUAUGCAGAUUCAUAGCACUGGAUUUUACUGCACGCAAAUCAACAAGGGACACACAUAUAAGCAUGUUGCUAAAGAGAUGUACAACUAAGCCACCAUGAAUUCAAGACAUUGUCAUCGCUACUGCAAAUUUGGAGCUGUAUAGUAACACCAGCGUGAAAGCCGACGUUUUACCCCAUGGUGCAAGGACCGACGCCGACAAUACCAAGUCAGACGAAGAUGGUGGUACAAGGUCUUGCAACGAUGGUCCUAAGACCGAUGUGUAUGACAAAGAUACACAAAGUUUGGUCCGUGCAUAUGUAGGUCCCGUUAUGUAACCUAAGCAUAGCACAGCUCAAGUCCGACGACGACGGAGGUGCAAAAUGCAACGAUGAACCAAAGACUUAUGCCGAUGAUGCAAGUCUUACAGCGAUGUCCCAAUUCCGACGACGAAGAGCCAAAACCAUGCUACCAUGAUCCAAGAUCCAAAGUCUCUGCGAUGAUCCGGGGAGUCUAGCUGGAGAUGUGCUCGCCAGGCAGGGUGGUGAUACUUGGGCUUCGUCCGAAGGCAUUGGAAAUACAACAAAAGAUGAGGCGAUAGGUGAAACAAAGACCCAAAACCGAUGUCGCUCUCACUUCCAAGCUCAUCUGAUGAUGUUCCAAUGACCUAUAUGUUGGGUAAAUUAUUAAUAAUGUAACUGAGAAGAAGAUACUUAGCUCAAAAUAAGGUUGUUGAUG